rnacentral:rRNA from 1 species
GACGAACGCUGGCGGCGUGCUUAACACAUGCAAGUCGAGCGGAAAGGCCCUUCGGGGUCCUCGAGCGGCGAACGGGUGAGUAACACGUGAGUAACCUGCCCUAGACUUUGGGAUAACCCUCGGAAACGGGGGCUAAUACCGGAUACUCCUUCUAAAUCGCAUGACUUGGUUGGGAAAGUUUUUCGGUCUGGGAUGGACUCGAGGCCUAUCAGCUUGUUGGUGGGGUACUGGCCUACCAAGGCGAGGACGGGUAGCCGGCCUGAGAGGGCGACCGGCCACACUGGGACUGAGACACGGCCCAGAAUCCUACGGGAGGCAGCAGUGGGGAAUAUUGCACAAUGGGCGGAAGCCUGAUGCAGCGACGCCGCGUGAGGGAUGACGGCCUUCGGGUUGUAAACCUCUUUCAGCAGGGACGAAGCGUAAGUGACGGUACCUGCAGAAGAAGCGCCGGCCAACUACGUG